UACGUAGGGCGCAAGCGUUGUCCGGAAUUAUUGGGCGUAAAGAGCUCGUAGGUGGUCUGUUGCGUCGGCUGUGAAAACCCGGGGCUCAACCCCGGGCCUGCAGCCGAUACGGGCAGACUAGAGUUCGGCAGGGGAGACUGGAAUUCCUGGUGUAGCGGUGAAAUGCGCAGAUAUCAGGAGGAACACCGGUGGCGAAGGCGGGUCUCUGGGCCGAUACUGACACUGAGGAGCGAAAGCGUGGGGAGCGAACAGG
rnacentral:rRNA from 1 species